rnacentral:rRNA from 1 species
AGUAAAGGUUUGUCAUAGGUUUAUCGACUGAGACUGCAGGACGAGCGCUGGAGGCGUGCCUAAUACAUGCUAGUCGAACGAACAGAAAAGGAGCUUGCUCCUUUGACGUUAGCGGCGGACGGGUGAGUAACACGUGGGCAACCUACCCUAUAGUUUGGGAUAACUCCGGGAAACCGGGGCUAAUACCGAAUUAUCUCUUUUGCCUCAUGGUAAAAGAGUGAAAGGCGGUUUCGGCUGUCGCUAUUGGAUGGGCCCGCGGCGCAUUAGCUAGUUGGUGAGGUAACGGCUCACCAAGGCGAUGAUGCGUAGCCGACCUGAGAGGGUGAUCGGCCACACUGGGACUGAGACACGGCCCAGACUCCUACGGGAGGCAGCAGUAGGGAAUCUUCCACAAUGGGCGAAAGCCUGAUGGAGCAACGCCGCGUGAGUGAAGAAGGUUUUCGGAUCGUAAAACUCUGUUGUAAGGGAAGAACAAGUACAAGUAGUAACUGCC